ACGGGGUGCAGCAGGCGCGAAAACUUCACACUGGGGGAAACCCCGAUGAGGGAAAUCCUAGUGCUAGGACAUUUGUUCUAGCUUUUCUCAAGCGUAGAUAACUUGAGGAAUAAGGGCUGGGUAAGACGGGUGCCAGCCGCCGCGGUAAUACCUGCAGCCCAAGUGGUGGUCGAUUUUAUUGAGUCUAAAACGUUCGUAGCCGGUUCGGUAAAUCUUUGGGUAAAUCGGGAAGCUCAACUUUCCGACUUCCGAAGAGACUGCCGAACUUGGGACCGGGAGAGGCUAGAGGUACUUCUGGGGUAGGGGUAAAAUCCUGUAAUCCUAGAAGGACCACCGGUGGCGAAGGCGUCUAGCUAGAACGGAUCCGACGGUGAGGGACGAAGCCCUGGGUCGCAAACGGGAUUAGAUACCCCGGUAGUCCAGGGUGUAAACGCUGCAGACUUGGUGUUGGAGGCAAUUCGGUUGCAUUCGGUGCCGGAGAGAAGUUGUUAAGUCUGCUACUUGGGGAGUACGUCCGCAAGGAUGAAACUUAAAGGAAUUGGCGGGGGAGCAC
rnacentral:rRNA from 1 species